GUUGAGAUGGCUCAGUGGGUAAGAGCACCAACUGUUCUUUCGGAGGUCCUGAGUUCAAAUCCCAGCAACGACA
rfam:Mus musculus chromosome 7, GRC primary reference assembly.